GACUUCAUAGUUCAGCUGGUAAAGUAUAUGCUGCGGCUGGACAUGUUGUUUCUUUCGCUGGUUCGAAUCCAGUUGAAGUCU